rfam:Haemonchus placei strain MHpl1 genome assembly, scaffold: HPLM_scaffold0001637
GGCACAAACUUAAAGUAGAGUAGAUUGGUAGGGUCAGCUGAUACUAAUGAUCUUCUCUACUUCAAAUUUGUGCCC